rnacentral:misc_RNA from 1 species
GAUGAAGAACGUAGCAAAAUGCGAUACUUGGUGUGAAUUGCAGAAUCCCGUGAACCAUCGAGUUUUUGAACGCAAGUUGCGCCCGAAGCCUUUUGGCCGAGGGCACGUCUGCCUGGGCGUCACGCAUCGCGUCCCCCCACAAAUUCUCCGUCAGGGGAGCUUGUGUUUCGGGGGCGGAUACUGGUCUCCCGUGCUCAUGGCGCGGUUGGCCGAAAUAGGAGUCCCUUCGAUGGACGCACGAACUAGUGGUGGUCGUAAAAACCCUCGUCUUAUGUUUCGUGCCGUUAGUCGCGAGGGAAGCUCUUCAAAAACCCCAACGCGUCGUCUCUUGACGGCGCUUCGACCGCGACCCCAGGUCAGGCGGGACUACCCGCUGAGUUUAAGCAUAUCAAUAAGCGGAGGA